ensembl:lncRNA
AUAGCUUUCUGAGGCAACAUUAACAGCUGUCAUCUUAACAGGCGACGGCUUAACGGGUGUCGGCUUAACAGGUAGAGUGGAAUCUUUAUUUAAGGUUUUGGCUUAACAGGUAGAGUGGAGUCUUUAUUUAAGGUGUCGGCUUAACAGGUAGACUGGAGUCUUUAUUUAAGGUUUCGGCUUAACAGGUAGAGUGGAGUCUUUAUUUAAGGUGUCGGCUUAACAGGUAGAGAGGAAUCUUUAUUUAAGGUGUCAGCUUAACAGGUAGACUGGAGUCUUUAUUUAAGGUGUCGGCUUAACAGGUAGAGUGGAGUCUUUAUUUAAGGUGUCGGCUUAACAGGUAGAGUGGAGUCUUUAUUUAAGGUUUCGGCUUAACAGGUAGAGUGGAGUCUUUAUUUAAGGUUUCGGCUUAACAGGUAGAGUGGAGUCUUUAUUUAAGGUUUUGGCUUAACAGGUAGACUGGAGUCUUUAUUUAAGGUGUCGGCUUAACAGGUAGACUGGAGUCUUUAUUUAAGGUGUCGGCUUAACAGGUAGACUGGAGUCUUUAUUUAAGGUGUCGGCUUAACAGGUAGAGUGGAGUCUUUAUUUAAGGUGUCGGCUUAAUAGGUAGAGUGGAGUCUUUAUUUAAGGUGUCGGCUUAACAGGUAGAGUGGAGUCUUUAUUUAAGGUGUCGGCUUGACAGGUGUAGCUUAACAGGUGUUGCCUUAGCUAGGGUGUCAUAACUUUUGACUGAUGUCAUAGUAGAUUAAAGUUGUCAUGUAGCUUUAGCAACUCCUGGCAGGUUGGUUUCCUGAAAGCUCUAUCAAGUAACAGGCUGGAGAAUGUUUCCUCUGGCAUGUAAGGAUUGUAAUAUAAACUUCCUGGUUGACCAGAUAAAGAAGAAUCAGAAUGGCAUCCGUUGUGCUUCAGAAGACAUAUCUCAACAUCAAUUGUCCCGUAUUUGUUGGAAGAUGCUAUGAUGAACCUUAGUUGGAAAUCACAAAAUACAGGACAAACAGAAAUGUCAGAUUAAAG